AGGGGAUAUUGUAUGUAACUGGUGACAUUUGAAAGAGACAUAUUGGACAGAAAUGACAUACGUGAAAGCCAAGAUACAAUAUAUUUAAUUUUCUAAGAAUUCAGUUCAAGAUAAGGAAGCUGAGAUGUAGAGCUGAAGUGUCUUGCCCAAGAUCAUUUGUCUACCUAUGACCUGGCUCGACCCAGCUACAAGUUGUUAAUAAGAGGGAAGCAUAUCAGGAAAAUCUGAGUGCAAUGGUUUAGGAAUUGGGAAAGUAUAAAAGGUGUAGCACAACAGCACUAGACAACUGAGGUAGUCACCUACCUAAGGAGAGA